AUUGAACGCUGGCGGCAGGCUUAACACAUGCAAGUCGAGCGGGGGAAGGUAGCUUGCUACCGGACCUAGCGGCGGACGGGUGAGUAAUGCUUAGGAAUCUGCCUAUUAGUGGGGGACAACAUCUCGAAAGGGAUGCUAAUACCGCAUACGUCCUACGGGAGAAAGCAGGGGAUCUUCGGACCUUGCGCUAAUAGAUGAGCCUAAGUCGGAUUAGCUAGAGGGUGGGGUAAAGGCCUACCAAGGCGGCGAUCUGUAGCGGGUCUGAGAGGAUGAUCCGCCACACUGGGACUGAGACACGGCCCAGACUCCUACGGGAGGCAGCAGUGGGGAAUAUUGGACAAUGGGGGGAACCCUGAUCCAGCCAUGCCGCGUGUGUGAAGAAGGCCUUAUGGUUGUAAAGCACUUUAAGCGAGGAGGAGGCUACUCUAGUUAAUACCUAGGGAUAGUGGACGUUACUCGCAGAAUAAGCACCGGCUAACUCUGUGCCAGCCGCCGCCGUAA
rnacentral:rRNA from 1 species